CGUGUAGGCGGUUUGUUAAGUCUGGCGUGAAAGCUCUCGGCUAAACCGGGAGAGGUCGUUGGAUACUGGCGAACUAGAGGAUGGUAGAGGCGUGUGGAAUUCCGGGUGUAGUGGUGAAAUGCGUAGAGAUCCGGAGGAACACCAGUGGCGAAGGCGACACGCUGGGCCAUACCUGACGCUAAAGCGCGACAGCAUGGGGAGCAAACGGGAUUAGAAACCCCGGUAGUCCAUGCCGUAAACGAUGCCAGCUAGAUGUUCAGUUCUCGCAAGAGAACGGGGUAUCGAAGCAAACGCGAUAAGCUGGCCGCCUGGGGAGUACGGUCGCAAGGCUAAA
rnacentral:rRNA from 1 species